GCGCACCAGGCGAGAAAACUUCACACUGUGCGAAAGCACGAUGAGGGAAUCCCAAGUGCUUGCACGUAAGUGUAAGCUGUUUCUCUGUCUAAAACGCAGAGAGAGUAAGGGCUGGGUAAGACGGGUGCCAGCCGCCGCGGUAAUACCUGCAGCUCAAGUGGUGACCGUUAUUAUUGGGCCUAAAACGUCCGUAGCCGGUUUAAUAAAUGCCUGGGUAAAUUGUGUAGCUUAACUAUACGAAUUCCGGGUAGACUGUUAAACUUGAGACCGGGAGAAGUUAGAGGUACUCCUGGGGUAGAGGUGAAAUUCUGUAAUCCUAGGGGGACCACCAGUGGCGAAGGCGUCUAACUAGAACGGGUCUGACGGUGAGGGACGAAGCCC
rnacentral:rRNA from 1 species